GCACUGUUAGUGGAGUGGUUAUCACACUUAUCUGCCAUGCACUUGAGCAAAAGUCAAAAGCGGCUUGGGUUUGAUUCCCGAACAGUCUA